rnacentral:rRNA from 1 species
GCCUAACACACUGCAAGUCGAGCGGCAGCACGGGAAGCUUGCUUCCUGGUGGCGAGCGGCGGACGGGUGAGUAAUGCAUAGGAAUCUGCCCGAUAGUGGGGGAUAACCUGGGGAAACCCAGGCUAAUACCGCAUACGUCCUACGGGAGAAAGCAGGGGCUCUUCGGACCUUGCGCUAUCGGAUGAGCCUAUGUCGGAUUAGCUGGUUGGUGAGGUAAUGGCUCACCAAGGCGACGAUCCGUAGCUGGUCUGAGAGGAUGAUCAGCCACAUCGGGACUGAGACACGGCCCGAACUCCUACGGGAGGCAGCAGUGGGGAAUAUUGGACAAUGGGCGCAAGCCUGAUCCAGCCAUGCCGCGUGUGUGAAGAAGGCCCUCGGGUUGUAAAGCACUUUCAGUGGGGAAGAAAGCCUGGUGGUUAAUACCCGCCAGGAAGGACAUCACCCACAGAAGAAGCACCGGCUAACUCCGUGCCAGCAGCCGCGGUAAUACGGAGGGUGCGAGCGUUAAUCGGAAUUACUGGGCGUAAAGCGCGCGUAGGUGGCUUGAUAAGCCGGUUGUGAAAGCCCCGGGCUCAACCUGGGAACGGCAUCCGGAACUGUCAGGCUAGAGUGCAGGAGAGGAAGGUAGAAUUCCCGGUGUAGCGGUGAAAUGCGUAGAGAUCGGGAGGAAUACCAGUGGCGAAGGCGGCGUUCUGGACUGACACUGACACUGAGGUGCGAAAGCGUGGGUAGCAAACAGGAUUAGAUACCCUGGUAGUCCACGCCGUAAACGAUGUCGACUAGCCGUUGGGUCCUUCGCGGACUUUGUGGCGCAGUUAACGCGAUAAGUCGACCGCCUGGGGAGUACGGCCGCAAGGUUAAAACUCAAAUGAAUUGACGGGGGCCCGCACAAGCGGUGGAGCAUGUGGUUUAAUUCGAUGCAACGCGAAGAACCUUACCUACCCUUGACAUCCUGCGAACCCUUCGGAGACGAAGGGGUGCCUUCGGGAACGCAGAGACAGGUGCUGCAUGGCUGUCGUCAGCUCGUGUUGUGAAAUGUUGGGUUAAGUCCCGUAACGAGCGCAACCCUUGUCCUUAUUUGCCAGCGGGUAAUGCCGGGAACUCUAAGGAGACUGCCGGUGACAAACCGGAGGAAGGUGGGGACGACGUCAAGUCAUCAUGGCCCUUACGGGUAGGGCUACACACGUGCUACAAUGGUCGGUACAAAGGGUUGCGAACUUGCGAAAGUGAGCUAGUCCCAGAAAGCUGAUCUCAGUCCGGAUCGGAGUCUGCAACUCGACUCCGUGAAGUCGGAAUCGCUAGUAAUCGUGAAUCAGAAUGUCACGGUGAAUACGUUCCCGGGCCUUGUACACACCGCCCGUCACACCAUGGGAGUGGACUGCACCAGAAGUGGUUAGCCUAACCUUCGGGAGGGCGAUCACCACGGUGUGGUUCAUGACUGGGGUGAAGUCGUAACAAGGUAGCCGUAGGGGAACCUGCGGCUGGAUCACCUCCUU